AAGAUAACAUCAUAAAUGUGAAUAAGUUACAAAACAAAAAAACUAAGAAAUACACAGUUGGAAUGCCAAUUAAAUUUAUAGAUGAAUCCUUUUUCGAGGAUUAAUUUGAAACUUACGAACUAUUGCUGUCAAACAAGUUCCUGUAGAAUCACAAGUUGAAAAGUUAAGCUUGUUCCACCAGACAUAAACAACAAAACUCAAGCUAAUGAAGAAAUUCUUACAAGCCCACCCUUGGUUGACAACUUGUGUUCCCUAUGGUGAGGUUGUUAAAUGAAAGAUCACUGCGCAAAAACGGCUACGAUGUAAACUAAUUUACAGAUUUGAUAUGCGAAUAGAAAUAGCUUACUAAGUAAUUAAAGAGUAGGAAAUAAGAUGGAUUGACCGUCGUUUUUUAUAUCAAUUCGAGUAGUAGAUAACAUAAAUUUCUAAUUGUAGACGUCGUAAAUACCUUACUAAGUUAUUAGAGGGAAGCAUUUGAAAGCAAAGCUUACAUAUUGCCCAUCCGCCAAGCAGGCAUGAGUCCGGUCAGCAUAAAAUUCCAUACUAAGUAACUAAAGAGUAGCAUUUGGAAGAGAAGCUUACACGAUUUUUUUCGACCAAGUAGGCACGGGUCCAGUCAACAAGUUUCCAGUUAAGAAUCUAGACAUAAUGAACAUAGAAAAAAUCUUUCCGUUAAAAAUUAUGAAAUUAUGAGAUUUUAAUAAAAUCUUUCUGUGCUGAUAAAAAUUACUUUAGUCUAAAGAAGAGUGCGAAAUUGCAGUGUACAAAUAAAUAGUGACUUGAGCCGAAUUUCACUUUAUUCACAAAACUGCCACCGCCUCUUUACUGCCGUUCAGAUUGGAAAUUUCAAUUUAUUUACGAAAUUGCCACCGCUUUGCACAGUGGAAGAGGGCCCACGCGUCAAUCAUCGUGGAUUGCUCUGCUCCGACUACUUUUCCGUCCGUUUCCAUCCCCUUUUCAUUCCCUCUUUUCCUCUCCCGACUCUCUCUCUCUGUAACCAUCCAUCAAAUCCUCCCAUCCCUCCCUUUUUUCACUCUGUAAUUUCCCUCAAAUCCCCCGUCGAUUCCCUCUCUCGCCAUUCUUAGUCUCGCCAGCAAUCUCGCGAGAUUAAGGCUGCACACGAGCGGAUCCAAAGAUCAAACCUGUGAUCUUCAAGUCGACACACCCAGAGGACUCCCAAAAUAUAAGAGAUGUCCCCAAGCAGCGGCGAUCAGAGAUGCUGAUCGACUCUCUGGUUUGCAUAUUUAAUAUACAACUUUUCUAUCUCCGAGCGGAGCGGGUGUAAGAUUCAAAGGCUGUCGAAGUCGCUCGAUUAAGAAGGGCUUUCAAUUUUGGGAAGGGUACGUGAUGUCUCAUCUGAUGAAGUUAGGCCCAUGUUCUUUGUAACCAUCAUUUAAAAAAUUAUCUUGAAUUAGCAAAUAAAUAUAAACACAUGGA